UACGGGGGGGGCAAGCGUUGUUCGGAAUUACUGGGCGUAAAGGGCUCGUAGGCGGCCAACUAAGUCAGACGUGAAAUCCCCAGGCUCAACCUGGGAACUGCGUCUGAUACUGGAUGGCUUGAAUUCGGGAGAGGGAUGCAGAAUUCCAGGUGUAGCGGUGAAAUGCGUAGAUAUCGUUUGGAACGCCAAUGGUGAAAACAGGUUGCUGGGAGUGUGCUGACGCUGAGACACGAAAGCCAGGGGAGCGAAACGGGG
rnacentral:rRNA from 1 species